GGUUCAAUGGUCUAGUCGGUUAUGACGUUUGCUUUACACGCAGAAGGUCCCCAGUUCGAUCCUGGGUUGAAUCA